GACGAACGCUGGCGGCGUGCUUAACACAUGCAAGUCGAACGGAAAGGCCCUGCUUUUGUGGGGUGCUCGAGUGGCGAACGGGUGAGUAACACGUGAGUAACAUGCCCUUGACUUUGGGAUAACUUCAGGAAACCGGGGCUAAUAUCGGAUAGGAGCUCCUGCUGCGUGGUGGGGGUUGGAAAGUUUCGGCGGUUGGGGCUGGAUUGGCUGCUUAUCGGCUUCCUGGUGGGGUAGUGGAUUUCCAAGGCUUUGACGGGUAGCCGGCCUUGGAGGGGGACCGGGCACAUUGCUCCUGCGAUACGCCCCAGACUCCUACGGUACGCAGCAGGGGGGAGCAUUGCACAACGGGCGGAAGCCUGAGGCAGCAGCGCCGCGUUCGUGAUGACGGCCUUCGGGUGGUAAACCGCUUUCGCCUGUGACGAAGCGUGAGUGACGGUAAUGGGUAAAAAAGCACCGGCUAACUACGUG
rnacentral:rRNA from 1 species